GUUACUAAUAUCCUAAUGGAUGGCGCUCUCAUCGUAACUGUCUGACACAAUGACAGCUGAUUUAGAUGCAAUUUGUUCAAAACCACAUUUUAAAAACAAUUCUUAUUCUUAUUAUGAGUAAUAUGGAUUAUUUUAAGUUCUGUGCUUUUUUUUGUAAAUUGCAAAUGAACGACCAAACGCGAAAAGUGAAAUAAGUAAAUGCGUACCGAAGUAAACACAAGUAGGAGUUGUGAUUUAGCCAGAUUACGGGAAAUGAUAGUUUCACGUAACCUAAAACUAAACGAGCGCGGUGCUAAAUGGUUAAGUAAAUACAAAAGCAAAAAGAAACCGUUAAUUAUUAAAGGAUCGAGAGCCCAUUACUGUUUAAAUUUCUGGGUGGAAAAGUUCAAUUCUUGUCUAUAAGACAUGGAAACCUUGGGUUGCGCUUGCGACCCAUGAGAAGAGCAAGGGAUGGCAAUUUAUGGCAUCAUAAAUGUUGCAUAUCGGAGACGUCUUAGCACUACCUGAAGAGGAUACUGCCAUACUUUGUUAUUUUCGCGUGCCCGUAAAGCGAAUGGGCCACUGAAUUGAUGACGAAACCUCCUGCUAGUGCAGCCAAUCUACAGCCACCGAACUGUUUUAAGUUGAAGAACUCCACUGGCACUUGCUAAUAUUGUAGCGAUCAUAUGCCAAAAACAAUGUCCGGGCUAUCGUAUUGGAACAGGUGUUUAGUGACUACCUGAUUGGAUCUGGA